UACGAAGGGGGCGAGCGUUGUUCGGAAUCACUGGGCGUAAAGCGUGCGUAGGCGGUUAUAAAAGUUAGAAGUGAAAGCCCAGGGCUCAACCUUGGAAUUGCUUUUAAAACUAGAUAACUCGAAUCUCGGAGAGGAUAGCGGAAUUGUCAGUGUAGCAGUGAAAUGCGUAGAUAUUGACAGGAACACCAGUGGCGUAAGCGGCUAUCUGGACGAGUAUUGACGCUGAGGCACGAAGGCCAGGGGAGCAAACAGG
rnacentral:rRNA from 1 species